UGUUGUGUUUCACUACUGGAGAGAGAGAGAGUUGUGACAUUGGGGCUGCUUGGGGCGGCAAAAACCCUGGAGCCAGCCCUGUGAAUAAGCACAUCACAGGUUGGCUGGCCCUUUAAGGCAAGCCGGGCUCAGCCUUGCUCAGGACCAGACCAGUAUUCUCACAUCUGAGUGUGAUGGAGACUUUAUUAUGAUGACUGACCCCAGCUGCUGGGACAGGGGGGUGGUGAGAGAGACGACCUCAGAUGGAGGAGGAGAACCGGAAAAAGGAGCAAGGCAAGAAUGUGGACAAGCUGAAGAUAAUCAGAGUUCUUUUCAGAGGGUAAAAACAUGGGUCCAUGCCAAGAUAAGUGCAUAGUUUAUGUGAACUGUAGUCUGAGACUACUCUCUUGUGAAGAACAUGUACCCAGGAUUCAAUGGAGACAUCCCAAGCUGAUGUUCCUAACAUUGCUUUCAUGAGUCAGGCCCCCAAAAAUAAUGAAACCAGUUUAAAAUUCAGGAGAUUUCAAAAAAAAAAAGGUUUGUGUUUUUUUUAAUACUGCUUCUGGUUUCUGAGCCUUUACUGUUAAGUGGCUUCAUUUUCUCAAUCACAGGACCUAGAAAAUUACUGGGGAAAAACGUGAGAUUUUCAUGUAACCUCUCAAUGUCAGGAAUGGGAGCUUUAAGAAAAACACAGUUGGCAACACUGUAAAAAAGUGACUUUUUUUAAAGCAAAGCUUUAUUUUUGAAAGCCCAUCUUUGCUGAGAACUAAUUAAACUCGAUAAUGUAAAUUA